UUGUAAGUAACACCUGCUCAAUGAAUAUUUUUAAAUAGCCGCGGAAAUUUAACCGUGCUAAGGUAGCAUAAUCAUUAGCCUCUUAAUUAGAGGCUCGUAUGAACGGUGAAACAUUUCAAUUACUUUUUUAGUUAAUAUUUUUAAAUUUAAAUUAAGAAUAAAAAUGUUCUUAUAAAUAAAAUAGACGAUAAGACCCUUUUGAACUUUACUCUAGUUUAGCUGGGGCAGCUAAAAAAAAAUAAUCUUAUUUUUAAUAUUUAAAUAAAUGAUCCAAUAAAAUUGAUUAUAUGAACAAGUUACCAUAGGGAUAACAGCGUAAUAUCUUUUUAAAGCUCUUAUUAAAAAAGAAGAUUGCGACCUCGAUGUUGAAUUAGUGUAACUUUACUGAUGCAGUAAUUUUAAAAGUAGGUCUGU
rnacentral:rRNA from 1 species